rnacentral:snoRNA from 1 species
AUUUUGUGAUGAUGGCAUCUUCAUAAUAGUUAUUUAAAUCUUUCCCAUACCUCAUAAAAGGAUUUGUCAUCCAUCUAUUGAAGGUAGUGACCUCAUUCCGUAACU